GACGAACGCUGGCGGCGUGCUUAACACAUGCAAGUCGAACGGAAAGGCCCUGCUUUUGUGGGGUGCUCGAGUGGCGAACGGGUGAGUAACACGUGAGUAACCUGCCCUUGACUUUGGGAUAACUUCAGGAAACUGGGGCUAAUACCGGAUAGGAGCUCCUGCUGCAUGGUGGGGGUUGGAAAGUUUCGGCGGUUGGGGAUGGACUCGCGGCUUAUCAGCUUGUUGGUGGGGUAGUGGCUUACCAAGGCUUUGACGGGUAGCCGGCCUGAGAGGGUGACCGGCCACAUUGGGACUGAGAUACGGCCCAGGCUCCUACGGGAGGCAGCAGUGGGGAAUAUUGCACAAUGGGCGGAAGCCUGAUGCAGUAACGCCGCGUGCGGGAUGACGGCCUUCGGGUUGUAAACCGCUUUCGCCUGUGACGAAGCGUGAGUGACGGUAAUGGGUAAAGAAGCACCGGCUAACUACGUG
rnacentral:rRNA from 1 species